rnacentral:tRNA from 1 species
UUCUAAGUGGUUUAAUUUAAAAAUACCGAUUUGUGGUGUCGGAGAUGUGUUAUACACCUUGGGUA